UACAGAGACUGCAAGCGUUGUUCGGAUUCAUUGGGCGUAAAGGGUGCGCAGGCGGUUCGUUAAGUCGGAUGUGAAAUCUCACAGCCUAACUGUGAUAGGUCAUUCGAAACUGGCGGACUUGAGGGCUGGAGAGGAGACUGGGAUAGUCGGUGUAGCGGUGAAAUGCGUAGAGAUCGACUAGAACACCGGUGGCGAAGGCGAGUCUCUGGACAGUUCCUGACGCUCAGGCACGAAAGCCAGGGGAGCAAACGGG
rnacentral:rRNA from 1 species